rnacentral:rRNA from 1 species
GUGGAUGAGUGGCGAACGGGUGAGUAACACGUGAGUAACCUGCCCCCGACUUCGGGAUAAGCCCGGGAAACUGGGUCUAAUACCGGAUAUGACUCUCUAACGCAUGUUGGAUAGUGGAAAGUUUUUUCGGUUGGGGAUGGGCUCGCGGCCUAUCAGUUUGUUGGUGAGGUAAUGGCUCACCAAGACGACGACGGGUAGCCGGCCUGAGAGGGCGACCGGCCACACUGGGACUGAGACACGGCCCAGACUCCUACGGGAGGCAGCAGUGGGGAAUAUUGCACAAUGGGGGAAACCCUGAUGCAGCGACGCAGCGUGCGGGAUGACGGCCUUCGGGUUGUAAACCGCUUUCAGCAGGGAAGAAGCCCCCUUGGGGGUGACGGUACCUGCAGAAGAAGUACCGGCUAACUACGUGCCAGCAGCCGCGGUAAUACGUAGGGUACAAGCGUUGUCCGGAAUUAUUGGGCGUAAAGAGCUCGUAGGUGGUUGGUCACGUCUGCUGUGGAAACGCAACGCUUAACGUUGCGCGUGCAGUGGGUACGGGCUGACUAGAGUGCAGUAGGGGAGUCUGGAAUUCCUGGUGUAGCGGUGAAAUGCGCAGAUAUCAAGAGGAACACCGGUGGCGAAGGCGGGACUCUGGGCUGUAACUGACACUGAAGAGCGAAAGCAUGGAGAGCGAACAGGAUUAGAUACCCUGGUAGUCCAUGCCGUACACGUUGGGCACUAUGUGUGGG